rnacentral:rRNA from 1 species
UACGGAGGGUGCGAGCGUUGUCCGGAAUCACUGGGCGUAAAGGGCGCGUAGGUGGCGGUCCAAGUCAACGGUGAAAGCCCGGGGCUCAACCCCGAGUCGGCCGUCGAUACUGGGUUGCUUGAGCACUGUAGAGGCAGAUGGAAUUCCGGGUGUAGCGGUGGAAUGCGUAGAGAUCCGGAAGAACACCGGUGGCGAAGGCGGUCUGCUGGGCAGUAGCUGACACUGAGGCGCGACAGCGUGGGGAGCAA